rnacentral:rRNA from 1 species
UGGGGAAUUUUGGACAAUGGGCGAAGGCCUGAUCCAGCAAUGCCGCGUGUGUGAAGAAGGCCUUCGGGUUGUAAAGCACUUUUGUCCGGAAAGAAAUCCUUGGCUCUAAUACAGUCGGGGGAUGACGGUACCGGAAGAAUAAGCACCGGCUAACUACGUGCCAGCAGCCGCGGUAAUACGUAGGGUGCAAGCGUUAAUCGGAAUUACUGGGCGUAAAGCGUGCGCAGGCGGUUUGCUAAGACCGAUGUGAAAUCCCCGGGCUCAACCUGGGAACUGCAUUGGUGACUGGCAGGCUAGAGUAUGGCAGAGGGGGGUAGAAUUCCACGUGUAGCAGUGAAAUGCGUAGAGAUGUGGAGGAAUACCGAUGGCGAAGGCAGCCCCCUGGGCCAAUACUGACGCUCAUGCACGAAAGCGUGGGGAGCAAACAGGAUUAGAUACCCUGGUAGUCCACGCCCUAAACGAUGUCAACUAGUUGUUGGGGAUUCAUUUCCUUAGUAACGUAGCUAACGCGUGAAGUUGACCGCCUGGGGGAGUACGGUCGCAAGAUUAAAACUCAAUGAAUUGACGGGGUCAUAGCUGUUUCCU